rnacentral:rRNA from 1 species
GACGUAGGGCGCGAGCGUUGUCCGGAUUUAUUGGGCGUAAAGAGCUCGUAGGCGGCUUGUCGCGUCGACCGUGAAAACUUGGGGCUCAACCCCAAGCCUGCGGUCGAUACGGGCAGGCUCGAGUUCGGUAGGGGAGACUGGAAUUCCUGGUGUAGCGGUGAAAUGCGCAGAUAUCAGGAGGAACACCGAUGGCGAAGGCGGCAUCCUGGACCAAUACUGACACUGAGGAGCGAAAGCCAGGGGAGCAAACGGG